rnacentral:rRNA from 1 species
UACGUAGGGUGCAAGCGUUGUCCGGAAUUAUUGGGCGUAAAGAGCGUGUAGGCGGCCCGACAAGUCCGCUGUGAAAGUCCAGGGCUCAACCCUGGAAUGCCGGUGGAUACUGUCGGGCUAGAGUCCGAAGGGGCGAGUGGAAUUCCUGGUGUAGAGGUGAAAUUCGUAGAUAUUGGAAGAACACCGGUGGCAAGGCGGCGAGCUGUCCAUUACUGACGCUGAGGCGCGACAGCGUGGGAGCAACAGG